GCCAGGCGCGGUGGUGCAUGCCUGUAGUCCCAGCUACUUGGGAGGCUGAGGCUGGAGGAUCACUUGAGUCCAGGAGUUCUGGGCUGUAAUGCACUAUGCUGAUCAGGUGUCUGCACUAAGUUCGGCAUCAAUAUGGUGAUCUCUGGGGAGCGGGGGACCACCAGGGUGCCUAAGGAGGGGUGAACCAGCCCAGGUCAGAAAUCGAGCAGGUCAAAACUCCCGUGCUGAUCAGUAGUGGGAUCACGCCUGUGAAUAGCCACUGUACUCCAGCCUGGGCAACACAGCGAGACCCCAUCUCU
ensembl:misc_RNA Metazoa_SRP Metazoan signal recognition particle RNA